rnacentral:rRNA from 1 species
AUAGCGUAUAUUAAAGUUGUUGCAGUUAAAAAGCUCGUAGUUGAAUUUCGGACAAGGACGUCCGGUCUGGCUUCUGGUCAGUACUGGAUGGACCGAGUCUUUUUUCUAGGGAAGCAGGGUGCUCUUAACCGGGUGCCCUGGGGAACUAGGACGAUUACCUUGAGAAAAAUAGAGUGUUUAAAGCAAGCUUAUGCUUGAAUACGUUAGCAUGGAAUAAUAGAAUAGGACUUUGGUUCUAUUUUGUUGGUUUUAAGGACCAAUGUCAUGAUGAAUAGGGACAGUUGGGGGCAUUAGUAUUCAGACGUCAGAGGUGAAAUUCUUGGAUUGUCUGAAGACUAACUAGUG